CAAUUUCUGUAUGGAUGGAUCGGAUGAGAAAAACUGUUCAUCUUCUUCACUUUCAGCUUCGGCACUGGGUUACGUUGGCAAAUGGCUUAUUAUAGCUGUUGUUGUCGUUGCCAUAGGGUGCAGUUUGGGUGGCUGUGUAUACAAGAAGCUGAUAAGUAGCACGCCUUCCCCGUCUCCCUCACCUGCAUCUACACACAUACCUCAGUGCGAAGAAGCUGUGGAGAUGCCAGCAGCUGACCCCUUCAUAUUCAGAAGUUCUUACAGUUACGGG